CAUGCUUAAUACAUGCAAGUUGGACAGGGAUGUUUUCAAUGGCAAACGAACAAGAAACGAGUAAAAACCUUUUCUUGGGAGGAGAACAACUGAAAAAUGACUGCUAAUACUCAUAGAUUGAGGAGUAAAAUGAGGGACACGUCCAAGGAGGGACUUGCGAUUGAUUAGCUAGUUGGUGAAACAAUAAUUUAUCAAGAAAAUGAUCGUUAAAGAAGAUGAUCAAUCACAUUGGGAUUGAGACACGACCCAAACUUCCCAUGGGAGACAGCAGUGGAGAAAUUUUCACACUGGGCAAAAGCCAAUCGGAGUAAUG
rnacentral:rRNA from 1 species